rnacentral:rRNA from 1 species
UACGUAGGGUGCAAGCGUUAAUCGGAAUUACUGGGCGUAAAGCGUGCGCAGGCGGUUUUGUAAGUCUGUCGUGAAAGCCCCGGGCUCAACCUGGGAAUUGCGAUGGAGACUGCAAGGCUUGAAUCUGGCAGAGGGGGGUAGAAUUCCACGUGUAGCAGUGAAAUGCGUAGAGAUCCGGAGGAACACCAAAGGCGAAGGCAGUGUCCUGGGGAGUACCUGACGCUCAGGUGCGAAAGCCAGGGGAGCGAACGGG